rnacentral:rRNA from 1 species
GACGAACGCUGGCGGCGUGCCUAAUACAUGCAAGUCGAGCGCAGGAAAUCGACGGAACCCUUCGGGGGGAAGUCGACGGAAUGAGCGGCGGACGGGUGAGUAACACGUAAAGAACCUGCCCUCAGGCCUGGGAUAACCACGAGAAAUCGGGGCUAAUACCGGAUGGGUCAUCGGACCGCAUGGUCCGAGGAUGAAAGGCGCUUCGGCGUCGCCUGGGGAUGGCUUUGCGGUGCAUUAGCUAGUUGGUGGGGUAAUGGCCCACCAAGGCGACGAUGCAUAGCCGACCUGAGAGGGUGAUCGGCCACACUGGGACUGAGACACGGCCCAGACUCCUACGGGAGGCAGCAGUAGGGAAUCUUCCACAAUGGACGAAAGUCUGAUGGAGCAACGCCGCGUGAACGAUGAAGGCCUUCGGGUCGUAAAGUUCCGUUGUAAGGGAAGAACAAGUGCCGCAGGCAAUGGCGGCACCUUGACGGUACCUUGCGAGAAAGCCACGGCUAACUACGUGCCAGCCGCCGCGGUAA